rnacentral:tRNA from 1 species
AAUCGUUUGGCCUGUGGGGGUUGUUUGUUUUGAAAGCAGAAAGAAAGCGUUCGAUUCGCUUAGCGGUUU